ensembl:lncRNA
UCUUUGAUCCCCGCCUUUCCUCCUAAUAGACAAACUGCUGCCAAAGCUUCCAGCUUCUUUCUCCCUGGUGACCAAGCCCCUCAUUUCCAUUUAAUCUCAGCCUCCACCUCCCCUGAACCCCACCCCCUCCUUCCUGUGAAGCUGGUUAUUUCCCUUCUCUUCUCUCAUUUCUUUCCCCUUCCCCCAGUAGUUCACAAUCCUCCUCAAAGUUUAGGCGUAAAUAUCAACGUGUCAUGGUUCCUUCCUUUCUCCCUGACCUGCCUCUUCCUACUCUCUACCCCUUUUCUCUGCUGGCUCCCAAAUCUUUGCUCUUCUUGGCUCUUUAAACACAUUCCUCUUAGUUUUCCCUCAAGUUUCCUUUCCUGCUCCAGCCUCUGGCCCAGGAGAGGUGAAGAUGCAGAGGAGGGAGGCAGGGGGAAGGAGUGGAGGGAAGUAGCCCUCCCUCCACUCCUUCCCCUCCCUGCCCUCCUUCCUCUCCCUCCUCUCCCUCCCCUCCCUCCUCCUCUGUCUCCAGGCUCUGCCUACACUCGGUUUCCCGUGGGAGAAGAUGAAUCUGCAGCAUCAGCCCCUGCCCGUCUCCCACAACCAGGGUGGCUAAGCCCUCAGAGCUCUGCGGGACAAUCCUUCUCUGCUGCUGCUGCUGCUGGAGCCUUCUCAGGGUGUCCUCUGUUGGCAGGCAGUCUUCGCACACAGUCAGAAAACGCAGAAGACUGGAGCGCAGGCGGCAGGGGUUCUUGCACUGUUGGCUGUUGAGUCCUUGCCACCCCCGGCUGUGUGACCCUUGGAGAGAGCUGUGCCUUGGGACCAGGGUGAGGCCUCGCUUGCAGGGUGGUGCUGGUGGGUUGGCGCCUGCAUGGCUGAAGAGGGGGUGCUUCCUGAAAUUCCGUUUCAUGCCAGGACUGGCUCUGCUCGGUUGGCUCACCUGUGGAUAGAGAGGGUCUCUGAGGCUUCGUUCAGAGUGAAUAUCUGAAUUUAAUGACCCUGUGGUCCAAGAGCUCAGGCAUCAGACACAGACUUUCCAGGGAAGCUCUGAGGAUCCCCGAUAUUCUCCUAGGAUAUUCCUAUCAUACCCUUGAGCACUGGCUCCAGUGGUACCCUCUCUAGGGCGAGGCCUCCCCUGACUUCUUUAGGCAGAGACGGGCUGUCUUCCUUGUACUCCUUUUGUAGGUAGGUACAUGCCUUAAUAGACAGAUAGAUGUAGAUAUAUUGAUAUAUGUGUAAUCACACUGUAAUAAUUUAUUUAUCAACUCCAUCCCUAGAAGGCAAAGCCCUUGAGCUCCAUAGACAAGGGGAAGGAGUAAGGCCCUGUAAGUGUCAUGGCCAAUCUCAGUAUCUACCUGCUCCCCUAUUCCUGCUUUUCCUAGCAAGUGCCUGAAACACAGUAUGUGUCAAAUGAAUGAAAGAAUGCAUGAAUAAAAAAUAAAGUGGCAGAAGAUGAUGAAGGUUUGGCCACACAGUUGACCUAGAAACCUGGCUUUGCCCUUGACUUCCUAUUGUAUCCCUUAUUCUGCAAUUACCCCAUGGUAGUCCUAGCUCAUCUCCUUCCUGAGUGAUCAUCAAACUCAUCUGCUGCUCCUCCUUUCCCUCAAGAGGCAGCCCUGCUAAGGGGGAACAGCAGAGACCAUGGGAUCAAGAAGACCUCAGUUCCAGUCCUGGUGCCAAUGCUUAACCCGGCUAGGAGAACCUAGCCAAGCCUCAGUUUCCAUCUUUUUUGUUUGUUUGUUUGUUUUUGACAGCACAUAGACACCCAAGCUAGACUGCUUGGGUUUUAAUCCCGCCUCCUCUGUUUGUUAGCUGAGUGGCCCUGGGCAAGUGACUACUUAAUCUCUCUGUGCUUCAGUUUCCUCAUCCAUAAACUAGAAUUAAUAGAAUCUGCUUCAUAGUGUUGUUGUGAGGAUUAAAAGAGCUAAUACACACAAAGCCCCUAAAACAACACCUGGGACAUGGUUAGCAUUAACUAACGCAAUAAACACUAGCAAUUAUUAAUAAAAAGCAAAGGAAUUUUGCAGAACUGAAAGAAAGCACCAGAAGAGGCUGUCCCAGAAGAGGCUUUGAAAGGCAAGGAGGAAGCUUAUGGAUGAACAAGCAAAGCAUUUCCACAAGGAACACAUGCAGCCGUGCCGAGGAAUGAUUCAGCCAACUAGGUGACAAGGAAAGCUCGCUACUUCUUGGAACCUGCAGAGCCCAAGUUGGCAUUUUUUUUCCAGCAGAAUCAGAAGCAUCAAAGAGGUGAGUCUGAAGUGUCAAAGGUAGAGGAGCUUGUUGGCCUCUGGGAUCAUCAGGGUGUUUGCUUAUGAAACGUCCCCCAUGCUGGCUCCCCUGACCUCCUCAGCCUCAUUCUACCCCCU